GUGCUCGCUUCGGCAGCACAUAUACUAAAAUUGGAAUGAUACAGAGAAGAUUAGCAUGGCCCCUGUGCAAGGAUGACAUGCAAAUUCGUGAAGCGUUCCAUAAAAAG
rnacentral:snRNA from 1 species